rnacentral:rRNA from 1 species
GCUAGCGCUUCCCCUACAUCCUGCCGCGAACCGUGCUACCAUUAGUUUGGUGGCGCCGGGGAUCGGCUCAUUUACUUUGAGAAAAAUAGAGUGUUCAAAGCAGGCCACACGCCUUGAAUAAGUUAGCAUGGAAUAAUAAUAAAGGACUUCGGUUCUAUUUUGUUGGUGUUCGGGACUGAAGUAAUGAUUGAUAGGGACAGUUGGGGCGGUCAGUAUUCCAAAGCGAGAGGUGAAAUUCUUAGACCUUCGGAAGACUAACAGCUGCGAAAGCGUUCCGCAAGGAUGUUCCCUUUGAUCAAGAACGAAAGUUGGGGGAUCGAAGACGAUCAGAUACCGUCGUAGUCUCAACUUUAAACUAUACCAGCUAGGGAUCGGUCAACGUUAAAUUAUUCGACUUGAUCGGCACCUUAUGAGAAAUCAAAGCAUCUGGGUUCCGGGGGGAGUAUGGUCGCAAGGCUGAAACUUAAAGGAAUUGACGGAAGGGCACCACCAGCCGUGGAGCCUGUGGCUUAAUUUGACUCAACACGGGAAAACUUACCAGGUCCAGACAUAGUAAGGAUUGACAGAUUGAUAGCUCUUUCUUGAUUCUGUGGGUGGUGGUGCAUGGCCGUUCUUAGUUGGUGGAGUGAUUUGUCUGGUUAAUUCCGUUAACGAACGAGACCCCAGCCUGCUAAAUAGCGCGGUUGAGCUUUGCUCGGCGCGAGCUUCUUAGAGGGACUAUGAUGCGCGAUAGCACAUGGAAGUUUGGGGCAAUAACAGGUCUGUGAUGCCCUUAGAUGUUCUGGGCCGCACACGGGCUACACUGGCGCCUGCAACGAGCAUAUCAGCUGGCCCGAGAGGGUCUUGGCUAAUCUUUUGAACCGGCGCCGUGCUUGGGAUUG